AUUGAACGCUGGCGGCCGGCCUAACACAUGCAAGUCGAACGAGUGGCGGACGGGUGAGUAAUGUCUGGGAAACUGACUGAUGGAGGGGGAUAACUACUGGAAACGGUAGCUAAUACCGCAUACCAUCAGAUGUGCCCAGAUUGGAUUGGCUUGUUGGUGGGGUAACGGCUCACCAUGGCGACGAUCCCUAGCUGGUCUGAGAGUCUGACCAGCCACACGUGAACGGAGACACGGUCCAGACUCCUAAGGUAGGCAGCAGUGGGGAAUAUUGCACAAUGGGCGCAAGCCUGAUGCAGCCAUGCCGCGUGUAUGAAGAAGGACUUCGGGUUGUAAAGUACUUUCAGCGUGGAGGCGUUACCCGCAGAAGAAGCACCGGCUAACUCCGUGCCAGCAGCCGCGGUAAUAC
rnacentral:rRNA from 1 species